rnacentral:rRNA from 1 species
GAUGAACGCUGGCGGCGUGCCUAAUACAUGCAAGUCGAGCGAACGGACGAGAAGCUUGCUUCUCUGAUGUUAGCGGCGGACGGGUGAGUAACACGUGGAUAACCUACCUAUAAGACUGGGAUAACUUCGGGAAACCGUAGCUAAUACCGGAUAAUAUUUUGAACCGCAUGGUUCAAAAGUGAAAGACGGUCUUGCUGUCACUUAUAGAUGGAUCCGCGCUGCAUUAGCUAGUUGGUAAGGUAACGGCUUACCAAGGCAACGAUGCAUAGCCGACCUGAGAGAGUGAUCGGCCACACGAGAGCUUGACCACCGUCCAUACUCCUACGAGAGGCAGCAGUAUGGAAUCUUCCGCAGUGGUCGGGAACCUUGCGGAACGACGCCGCGUGUGUUAUAGAGAUCUUCGGAUCGUGAUACUCUGUUAUUAGUGAAAAACAUAUUUGUGAGUGACUGUACACAGCGUGACGGUACCUAAUCAGAAAGCCACGGCUAACUACGUG